AUACGGAGGGUGCAAGCGUUAUUCGGAAUCACUGGGCGUAAAGGACGCGUAGGCGGGUUGGCAAGUCGGAUGUGAAAUCCUACAGCUUAACUGUAGAACUGCAUUUGAAACUGCUAACCUAGAGUAUGAGAGGGGGAGUUGGAAUUAGUGGUGUAGGGGUAAAAUCCGUAGAUAUCACUAGGAAUACCGAAAGCGAAGGCGAUCUCCUGGAACAUAACUGACGCUAAGGCGUGAAAGCGUGGGGAGCAAACAGGAUUAGAAACCCUAGUAGUCC
rnacentral:rRNA from 1 species